rnacentral:piRNA from 1 species
CUGUCGGCCAGGAGAAGAAAGGU